rnacentral:rRNA from 1 species
AGAGUUUGAUCCUGGCUCAGGAUGAACGCUGGCGGCGUGCUUAACACAUGCAAGUCGAACGAAGCACUCUAUUUGAUUUUCUUCGGAAAUGAAGAUUUUGUGACUGAGUGGCGGACGGGUGAGUAACGCGUGGGUAACCUGCCUCAUACAGGGGGAUAACAGUUGGAAACGACUGCUAAUACCGCAUAAGCGCACAGGAUCGCAUGAUCCGGUGUGAAAAACUCCGGUGGUAUGAGAUGGACCCGCGUCUGAUUAGCCAGUUGGCAGGGUAACGGCCUACCAAAGCGACGAUCAGUAGCCGACCUGAGAGGGUGACCGGCCACAUUGGGACUGAGACACGGCCCAAACUCCUACGGGAGGCAGCAGUGGGGAAUAUUGCACAAUGGGGGAAACCCUGAUGCAGCGACGCCGCGUGGAGGAAGAAGGUCUUCGGAUUGUAAACUCCUGUUGUUGGGGAAGAUAAUGACGGUACCCAACAAGGAAGUGACGGCUAACUACGUGCCAGCAGCCGCGGUAAAACGUAGGUCACAAGCGUUGUCCGGAAUUACUGGGUGUAAAGGGAGCGCAGGCGGGAAGACAAGUUGGAAGUGAAAUCUAUGGGCUCAACCCAUAAACUGCUUUCAAAACUGUUUUUCUUGAGUAGUGCAGAGGUAGGCGGAAUUCCCGGUGUAGCGGUGGAAUGCGUAGAUAUCGGGAGGAACACCAGUGGCGAAGGCGGCCUACUGGGCACCAACUGACGCUGAGGCUCGAAAGUGUGGGUAGCAAACAGGAUUAGAUACCCUGGUAGUCCACACCGUAAACGAUGAUUACUAGGUGUUGGAGGAUUGACCCCUUCAGUGCCGCAGUUAACACAAUAAGUAAUCCACCUGGGGAGUACGACCGCAAGGUUGAAACUCAAAGGAAUUGACGGGGGCCCGCACAAGCAGUGGAGUAUGUGGUUUAAUUCGACGCAACGCGAAGAACCUUACCAAGUCUUGACAUCCCUUGACAGGCAUAGAAAUAUGUUUUCUCUUCGGAGCAAGGAGACAGGUGGUGCAUGGUUGUCGUCAGCUCGUGUCGUGAGAUGUUGGGUUAAGUC